rnacentral:rRNA from 1 species
AAACGACUCUCGGCAACGGAUAUCUCGGCUCUCGCAUCGAUGAAGAACGUAGCGAAAUGCGAUACUUGGUGUGAAUUGCAGAAUCCCGUGAACCAUCGAGUCUUUGAACGCAAGUUGCGCCCCAAGCCUUCUGGCCGAGGGCACGUCUGCCUGGGCGUCACAA